rnacentral:rRNA from 1 species
GAUGAACGCUGGCGGCGCGCCUAACACAUGCAAGUCGAACGGCACCCACCCUCGGGUGGAAGCGAGUGGCGAACGGCUGAGUAACACGUGGAGAACCUGCCCCCUCCCCCGGGAUAGCCGCCCGAAAGGACGGGUAAUACCGGAUACCCCGGGGUGCCGCAUGGCACCCCGGCUAAAGCCCCGACGGGAGGGGAUGGCUCCGCGGCCCAUCAGGUAGACGGCGGGGUGACGGCCCACCGUGCCGACAACGGGUAGCCGGGUUGAGAGACCGACCGGCCAGAUUGGGACUGAGACACGGCCCAGACUCCUACGGGAGGCAGCAGUGGGGAAUCUUGCGCAAUGGGGGGAACCCUGACGCAGCGACGCCGCGUGCGGGACGGAGGCCUUCGGGUCGUAAACCGCUUUCAGCAGGGAAGAGUCAAGACUGUACCUGCAGAAGAAGCCCC